rnacentral:lncRNA from 1 species
AGGAAAUCAUACAUGUCGUGGAUAUUUCUCGUUGCUGUCCGAAGGAUUUCCUGCGGAGAUUUCCCAGGUCCUACACAGAGAAAGUUUGUGUCCAUGACCAUGAUUCUUCACGGUUCCUCCACCAUGACUGUGACCAUGCUGGUGUAAAGUCAAUCCCAUUCUGUGAAAAAGCAAUCGCAUUAAAUCAUUUGGAAGAAUUAUCACUAUUGAAGCGAUCAUGAAGAGCACACAGAGGAUGCUGGCGAUCACUAAUUUUUUCCGUGCUUUUCCAUCAACUUUUUCAUUCCUCUCGCGAU